rnacentral:rRNA from 1 species
CCCUUAGAUGUUCUGGGCCGCACGCGCGCUACACUGAUGCAUUCAACGAGUCUAAAACCUGCUCUGAUAGGGGUGGGUAAUCUUUUGAAUGUGCAUCGUGAUUGGGAUAGAUGAUUGCAAUUUUUCAUCUUCAACGAGGAAUGCCUAGUAAACGCAAGUCAUCAGCUUGCAUUGAUUACGUCCCUGCCCUUUGUACACACCGCCCGUCGCACCUACCGAUUGAAUGUUUCGGUGAAGAUUCCGGAUAGGACUUUUUUGAUUUAUUUCAAUUCUGUCUUAAAAGCUAUCUAAACCUCAACAUUUAGAGGAAGGUGAAGUCGUAACA